AAAAAGGCUCUUUUAAGAGCCACCCACUUUCUCUAUUGAAAGAGCU
rfam:Ailuropoda melanoleuca scaffold2498_8, whole genome shotgun sequence.